UGGGGAAUAUUGCACAAUGGGCGCAAGCCUGAUGCAGCGACGCCGCGUGAAGGAUGAAGGUUUUCGGAUCGUAAACUUCUAUCAGCAGGGAAGAAACCAAUGACGGUACCUGACUAAGAAGCCCCGGCUAACUACGUGCCAGCAGCCGCGGUAAUACGUAGGGGGCAAGCGUUAUCCGGAUUUACUGGGUGUAAAGGGUGCGUAGGUGGCAUGGCAAGUCAGAUGUGAAAACUCGGGGCUCAACUUCGAGAUUGCAUCUGAAACUGCUAAGCUAGAGUGCAGGAGAGGAAAGCGGAAUUCCGAGUGUAGCGGUGAAAUGCGUAGAGAUUCGGAGGAACACCAGUAGCGAAGGCGGCUUUCUGGACUGUAACUGACACUGAGGCACGAAAGCGUGGGGAGCGAACA
rnacentral:rRNA from 1 species